GUGGGGAAUCUUCCGCAAUGGACGAAAGUCUGACGGAGCAACGCCGCGUGAGUGAUGAAGGUCUUCGGAUUGUAAAGCUCUGUUAAUCGGGACGAAAGAGCCUAGUGUGAAUAAUGCUAGGAAGUGACGGUACCGGAAUAGAAAGCCACGGCUAACUACGUGCCAGCAGCCGCGGUAAUACGUAGGUGACAAGCGUUGUCCGGAAUUAUUGGGCGUAAAGCGCGCGCAGGCGGAUCUGCCAGUCUGUCUUAAAAGUUCGGGGCUUAACCCCGUGAUGGGAUGGAAACUACAGAUCUAGAGUAUCGGAGAGGAAAGUGGAAUUCCUAGUGUAGCGGUGAAAUGCGUAGAUAUUAGGAAGAACACCAGUGGCGAAGGCGACUUUCUGGACGAAAACUGACGCUGAGGCGCGAAAGCCAGGGGAGCGAACGGGAUUAGAUACCCGGGUAGUCC
rnacentral:rRNA from 1 species